rnacentral:rRNA from 1 species
UAGGGAAUAUUGGACAAUGGGGGGAACCCUGAUCCAGCCAUGCCGCGUGGAGGAAGACUGCCCUCUGGGUUGUAAACUCCUUUUAUAUGGGAAGAACCGUCCUCAUUGAUGAGUGACCUGACGGUACCAUAGGAAUAAGCACCGGCUAACUCCGUGCCAGCAGCCGCGGUAAUACGGAGGGUGCAAGCGUUAUCCGGAUUUAUUGGGUUUAAAGGGUCCGUAGGCGGGCCUGUAAGUCAGUGGUGAAAUCUCAUAGCUUAACUCUGAAACUGCCAUUGAUACUGCAGGCCUUGAGUAAAUUUGAAGUGGCUGGAAUAAGUAGUGUAGCGGUGAAAUGCAUAGAUAUUACUUAGAACACCGAUUGCGAAGGCAGGUCACUAAGAUUUAACUGACGCUGAUGGACGAAAGCGUGGGGAGCGAACA